CGUUACACCCCUAGUCAGUGUUGCCAGAUUGGUCCAUAUUUCCCACCCGAUCUGGCAACAUUGGCUGCAGCCAGCGUUGCCAGAUUGGGCGGGAAAUACGGCACAAUCUGGCAUCACUGCCCCUAGUACAAAUGCUGUGCGUGUUGUGGCAUCCCGCCACUUAAACCUCGGCCCAGGCGGGUCCGAGGUCGGGUGACUGACGGCGUAUACCGUCGCCACCCAAUGAGUGGCGACGAAGAGCAUCACUCUCUCCCCAAUCAGCGAAACUGGGGGACACCUGGCCGGAGGCAGUGAAAGCCGAGGAGCCAUUUUAAAAGCAGGUCGAGGACAGACAGGAGAGGAGAGACCAGGAGCGAGAGGCAGCGGAGAAGCUCUCAGGUCCACCGCGGAAUAGAGGCUCACAGAGACCCUAUGCAGCGUGUGUGUCCCCUGUUGUACGAUUAUUGUAAUAAACGCCGUGAUCGGCUUAAAACCCUCACUACCAAAUUGAUUUGUACGUGGAACCCGGCGACAUCGAGGAGCGGGUCACCACAGUGUGUGUUACAGCUGUAUGUUAUCCUUACUUAUUACGGGUCUUUUCAACGUUCCGUUCACUUGCAUGGGCACUUCACAACUUCCGGCGGUCAAUUCUUUUUGGAUAAUUCAUUGGCAACGGAUGAAUUAUGACUGCUGUCAAGACCUGUUUCAGCUGCAGGUUCUCCGCCUGGUACCGGGUGGCUGCCUGGUUAGCGCCAACCAUCUGGGCCUGAAGUCCGGCGCUGUCCGUGGUUGCUAAGGCAACCUGGUUCACCAAGGUCACAAAGCGACGCAUGAUACAGUGAGGCGCUCACAAGACCAGCCCGGACAGGGUGACAGAAAACCCAUUGAACCCCCAAUGUCCACAAUCUACAGGUAGGGACCCCUGUGUAUACCUGUUCAUUCAUGAGAAUAACCAUUCCUGCUAAAUGACUAAAUAACAGUAACAGCAAAAACAUGCCGAUUGCCCAAUAUACUGAUCGCAACUCAUCUUUUAUGAAUGCAAAACGUUGAAAUGUGCGGUGGUUUGUUAGGGAGUCAGGGAGGCCUAUAUUCCGGUCAACUAUGUCCAUGCAGCAGUUUCAUAUCCUCUCAAGAGUUAUCAGAUUUGAUGACAGAGCUACACGACCUUUCCGCUGGCGAGACGACAAACUGGCUGCCAUCAGGAACGUUUGGGACAGGUGGGUGGAGCGCCUACCACUGAUGUACAACCCAGGCCCUGAGGUGACUGUGGACGAGCGCCUGGUCCCAUACAGAGGUCGCCGUCCAUUCAAACAGUACAUCCCAAGCAAACCAGGCAAGUAUGGGAUCAAGAUCUGGGCAGCAUGUGAUGCCAGGAGCAGCUACGCCUGGAACAUGCAGGUUUACUCAGUGAAACCUGUUACUGGAAGGCCAGAAAAAAAACAAGGCAUACGUGUUGUGUUGGACAUGACAGCCGGUCUCAAGGGGCAUAACAUCACAUGCGAUAACUUUUUCACAUCUAUGUGGUGUGGACAGCGAUUGACCCAGCCUGGAAUAAGGGGAAAUGUUUCAAGAGGAGGCUCUUCCCGGCAGAGCUUGCGAAAGCUUUAGUGACUCCUCUAAUUCAACGGCCCCAGCACCUUCCCCGCAC
ensembl:lncRNA